AGCCAUGGUACUAUGGCUGGGGGUUCAACCUGCCAAGAGGUCAGGCUCUGCUGGACAAGUGGAACCAGAUACCCGACUCCACCGACAUACUGGUCACACACUGCCCCCCACUGGGGUUCCUGGACUGGGUUCCUAAGAAGAUGCAGCGGGUGGGCUGUAUGGAGCUGCUCAACACUGUCCAGAGGAGAGUACAGCCCAAGCUACACGUGUUCGGACACAUCCACGAAGGUUAUGGUAUGAUGACAGACGGCACCACCACGUUCGUCAACGCCUCGGCCUGCACCGUCAACUUCCAGCCCAUGAACCCGCCCAUCGUCUUCGACCUGCCCAAUCCCACCAGGACCACAUGACUAGAGAAGCCCCGCCCUGCUGA